CAACGUGUAGCGUUGUUAAUGAUGUGAUAUAGAAGAUUUCCUGUAUGAUUCAACAACAAGCAUAUAACGUAACGCAUGUAGCCAAUAUAGAACAUAGUUAUUAUUUUUAUCCACAUUAGACAUCAAAAGAACUUGCAGGAGGGGACAAGAUGAAUCGGUGUUUAAUCGUACAUAUGGCGACACUGUCCUUCACGCAUAAUCGAUGAUAAAGUGUUUGCGUCUCACAGCUGUAUUGUUAUGUCCCCAACACGUAGUGACCACCGAAGAAUUGUCUCCUCAUUUCCCAGUUUCUGCUAAGAGUAGAUUGACAAAUAUUACCACUCGAAGCCUGUUGUAUUUCCAUGCAUCAGCGAUUGAGCACCCGCGAGCUAAAGUUAAAGGUGCUUAAGAUUACAGUUAUACUCAUUUAUAUCGCAACGUUUUAAACGCCUCAUAACCAAGGCUGUUAUAGUUUAUUGAUCAGCACUAUAAAGUCAGUUUGGAUGUAGUCAGUUUACGACAUAUUCAGUGUUCUGGGUUUUGGCAGCAUUACUAUAUGUUGACCAUGUUUCCUACACUUGGAACAUGAUUAACUUAUGGCUACAUUAAACUAAAAAAAGCAUUUCAUAAAAUAU